AUGAUGUCCAAAACUAGGAGUGCUGCAGAUUUUUGGGAGGCCGUAGAGACCAAGGGCCCCCUGCAAAGUGGUAUGGAAGAACCCCUGCUCAUGAUUAGAGCCUUGGGAGGACGCUAUGAGGUGAAACGGCUCAUGGGCGCACAGUUCAUCGCUUCUCCUGUCCCAUCACAAGUCAAACAGACUGGACUGCACUCCACAUUCUCACCACGUGUCCUUCACAAUGGGGUGCCCACCUCCCCCCCCCCCUACCCCGCGAUCUUGUAUUGUAGACGAUUGCAGCAAGGCGACCCUCCGUCACCGUUGCUCUUUGUCCUCGUCAUCGACCCUCGGAAGCAGACCGUCGAUGUGGCUAUGGAGCAAUACCUUCUACACAAAAUUGGUGGGCGAGAGACCACUUUCUGCACCUCGCUGCACGUGGGCGACAUCGCGAUCUUUGUUGCUCCUAUCAAGCAAGACAUCCAAAAUUUGGCGAUCAUCCCGAGUUCCUUUGGCGAGGUCACUGGGCUUUCCACCAACUUCCAAAAGAGCUUUGUUGUUGCUAUUCGAUGUGGACACCUCAACGUCGAUGACAUCCUUCAAAAUUGGCCGGCCACACGAACAUCUUUUCCAAUCAAAUACCUUGGCCUACCUCUCUUUGUGUGGCGACUAAGGAGACUGAAUUUCCAACCGCUCGAAGAAGAUCGCGGCCAAGCUCCCACCUUGGCAGGGGAGAAACAUCGCCACGAUUGGCUGAACCGCUCUGGGAAAUUUACCACACCACCCCUCUUGUCAUCCCAAUAUCACCAUUGGAAAUGGGGCCAAGGCGAUUCACCAUGGCUGAAUGGUACAAGGCCGAAAGACAUUGCCCCGCUCGUCCAUGAAGCCUCCAUGCGGAAGAAAUGGACAGUUGGGAAGGCUCUUGCAGGCAAUGCAUGGAUCCAACAGAUCAAGUUAACCGACGAUUUUACCAUGGAGCAUUUAUUCGAGUAUCUUGAGCUUUCGAAAAUGAUCUCGCACGUCCAGCUCAAUAACAAUGUGGAGGAGGCAAUCUCCUGGAGGCUGGCGGACAGCUGUACCUACUAG
rnacentral:rRNA from 1 species